rfam:Triticum aestivum genome assembly, contig: Triticum_aestivum_CS42_TGACv1_scaffold_132811_2BL
CUGGCAUGAUGAGGAAUGUAAAUGUUGUCCUAUCUAUUUGAUGAUAAAAUCCUCCUACUCAUUCUGA